AUCAAAUAAUGCCCCUCCCCCGACAAUAAUCACGCAGUGCAGGUUUGGAAGUGUGACACCUGUAUGAUGAUUCUGUCUCUAAAUUUGAAUGCUGACUCGUUAACUCGUUGACGGUAAUAGAACGAUCAGUUUCCUCGAAGGGUGACUCGGCCAUGAGUGAUGACAUCACCGCCGCUCAACUGGGCGGAGCCCGAAAUGGCUUUGAGGUGGUUUUGUUGGAGCUUGUAGGCGAAAAGUCUUAUCAAAUUUUCCCUCCUGAGAGUUGUUGCUCCCAGCAAAGCCGUGAAAUGGAUCUCCGAGGGUUUAUUCUGGGCCCGAGCGGACUCGGACAGCCUUCAGUAGGUCCGUCCGAGGAAGUCGGGGCCGCGUCGACGAGACCGCAGCGUCUAAAGCAGUCGAUUGGAUUCGGCUCACGUCUCGUCUUACGGGAGCGUCACUGCGAUCCAGCUGAGCCUGAGACGUGUCCACGUGUGGACGUCAGCUUCUGGCGUGAGGCUCUCUAUUGUGAAAACUGGAACAAACUAGACUCAGAAGAGCCGAGGAAGCAGAGAAGCUGCCUGAAAACCUGCACAGGUGCGUCCCUGGUGGGACUAAACCUGCUGUCAAGUCAGCACGCUGGUUUAUUUAGGUUAGUCAGCGUGUCCAUGACCACCGGGGAAGCGCUGACCUCAAACGGGGAUUCAUCCUCGGAGCAGCGACGUCCGGACCAGCUUCCCAACAACCAACCAAGAGGAAGAAAAAGCAAUACGGGCUGACGUGCGAGUGCUUCUGGGUGGGCGGGGCCAAACAAUAAGGCCGCUGUGGUCGCCUCAUUUAGACCUGAAUACCAGAUCUGCUCCGCUUGGGUUCACCCUCACAGAGCCAGUCAGCGUUCCUGGUCCUGCCCGGAGCUUCACCCACACCCAGUUAGCCAGCGUUAUAUAACGUGCACGGACAAAAAUCUAAGAAACAAACGUAUUAACAGGCGAAACCUACAUAAAACCACAGAGGGGGAUUGUGCGAUUCCAAAAAACGAGGCUUCUGGCUUUGAUCUUCAGCGCCACCUUCUUUGAUCUGUGACAUUAAUUCCGUCACGUUGACAUUCAGAGAUCCGCCCGCUCCCACGGCGACGCAAAUAAAGAUCUCUGAUCUGGCAGCAGGUCCCAGAUCGGCGCUUAAACGGCGGUAACAGAUUAACGAGGGAGUCUGGAGGCUCGCGGGGGCGCAGCAGAGGGGUUUGUGGGUAAUCCUGAUGUGAGAUGAGGGGCGGCCCAACGAUCAAGGCGUAGAGGAUGGACGGGGGAUUUACUGGCUGUGACCUGGGUUGGGUUUGGUCCCUCAGAAUAGCAGCAUGACAUCACCCAUGAAGUCACACAUCUGGACACGCUAUUAAAACCAUUAAAUCCAGUUCAGGCUCGUUUUUGUGGCUCAGAGUAGCGCCGGGCGGCCCGGAGGAGGAGGAGGAGGAGGAGGAGGAGGAGGAGGAGGAGGAGGACCAGAGGCUGGUGGAGGGAAUAAAAAUGACUGGUGGUUUUUCUGGCGAAGGAUGAAUAAAACCAGAUUAAACCCACGUGUUCCAGCAGGAGUCCGGCCCCACAGA
ensembl:lncRNA